UUCGGAGCCCCAGCCCUCGAGGGCCGCUCCCUCCCGCCUCGGAGGACUUGGGCUCCUCGCCCGAAGCGCACCGUCCUUGGCGCGCUCGCCGCUUGCCUGGCUCUGCGAUCCCUCCAGUGGGCGUCUCCCGGAGCAGCGUCUGGCCUGCCCACUGAGCAGCUCUCAGCAGGGUGAGCCGGCCCCUCUCCCUGCUCUGCCUUUUUUCAACUUCGGCGAAGUCGGGAAGUUACCAAGGUUGUCACGUUAAGAUGCUGGACUUGAAAUCUGGAGUCCUGCUUCCUGUGGCUAGAUAAUCCUGGGUCUGUGCGUCUUAUAAAUGGGAAUGAAAGGACCUGCCUUUCCUGUUGAUGAGGUCAUCGGGAAGAUCAAAAGGUAUAUGCAAAACAGCCAGAUCCCAGAAGGGGUGAGCUCACCAGUUCAUCAUCCUCCUCUCUUCAGAAAGGAUGUGAAUCUAAAGUGUGGGGAAAAGCCAAGGAAACCACCACCACAUGGAAACACAAAAGCAGAGGUUUCCCUAUCUUCUUGGUGGAACACCCUCAGUGGUGUCAUGCAAGGAGGAGGGCUUUUGCUGUGGGCACAGCCCUCAGAGGCAAGUUUUCUUCAUUUAUUUUUGCUUCAAUUUUGA
rnacentral:lncRNA from 1 species